GUUUUGCACAGUUGUUCUGACAAGUGCAAGAUAGCCAGUGGGAAUGAGAUCUUUAAUCCACCGAAUGCACAUUGCGAGGAGAACGGCUCUGGGAUGAAGCUCUCUGGUCGCUACGAGGUUUCCUUGGCUUGAGAUAACGCUCUUGACUCACGUUGCGGCAGUAAGAGGUUAUGCUCGCUUGCUGGCCCUGAGAUUCUGCUCUGAAGGAUUGCCAUCUGGUGGCCUUGUGCUGGAAAGCCACCGCUACAGCCAGGGAUGGAGUGGCACUUUGCACCGCUCGGUUUACCUGUGCACAUCGCCGCUCCACGUCCCCUCUGGGGCAGGCACUGGUGCUGAACCCUGGCAGGACAGAAGCGCCUCUGCCAGCGCCAGGCCAGCCAGACUGGGGAGCGAAGCUGGAUGUUUCAAAGUGGCUUUUCAGUAAUGAGCGUAYUUUUUAGAGCUGAUUCAUCCUUGCUCUGUGUGUGUGCACACGUAAGCAUUUGCAAAAUGGUAACUUGUUUUUUAAAACACUCUAAUAAACACACACAAAACUAAGUAUCA
ensembl:lncRNA